AAAUAAGGGCCAGGGUGAUGGAACCCAUUUAUGUUUAGCAUAUACCUGUUAUCCCUUUUUUCAAGUUUUGAGUUGAGUAGUAUAACUCUCUCAAAUUGAUAAAAUGUUUGUGCAGUUAUUUAUUUCUUUUCAUUAUGUGAUCAUAAGUCACUGAAAUGUUUGAGAUUGGAUUAGUGAACGUGGUCGUUUUACCUUUUCAUUAGGUCUUUUGUAUGAAUUAUGUUUAUUCUCCACUUCUUAAGUAGUAGUCUCACCAGAUCAUGCUUAUGGUAUAAUUCUUGGCGGUACAAAUGGUCACUAGUAAGACAUUUGUGUUUAUAAUUAAAAUAGUUAUCUUUAGCAAAAGCUGAAACUGUUGUUCGACUUAUUCUGGUACAAGUUUCAUACGUGGUAAAUAGGCUAAAUUCCUAAUUUUGUUGCUCAAGAAUAUAUAUAUAUAUAUAAUAUAAGCACUGGUUUCGACCAGCUUCAUUAAUUUACCAUUUUACCCCUAAUUAUUCCAUAAUUUAUUAUAUUAUUCCUAAUUAAUUAUUAUAAGUCAUUUAUAUAUUAGAAUUAAUAAUAUUUAAUUUAAAAAAUAAAUAUUUAUGAUGUUUGUUUCAGUUGCUUCAUUCGUGAUUUUACUAUAUCAUUCCUAAUUAAUUAUUAUAAGUCAUUUAUGUAUUAAAAAAUUAAUAGUAUUUAAUUUAAAAAAUAGAUGACAUGUCUGUUGCAGCUGCUUCAACCAUAAUUUUGCUAAAUAUCGCUCAUAACUAAUCAUUAUGAGUCAUCCAAGUGUUAAAAGUUUAAUAAUAUUUUUUUAAAAAAUAAAAUAGACAUAAAAUGAUAAAUUAACUCUUGAUGUAUUAAAUUAAGUUGACCUCCUUCAACUGAUAUUUUACCGUAUCACCCCUAAUUAAUUAUUAUAAGUCAUGUAUAUAUUAAAAAAACUAUAAUAUUUAUUUAAUUAAAAUAUUGGUUUUGACAUGGUUGCUUCAAAAGUUGCACCAUGAUUUUACUAUAUCACCCCUAAUUAAUUAUUAUAAGUCAUUUAUGUAUUAAAAGAAUAAUAGUAUUUAAUUAAAACAAAAAAAAUAUGUGUUUAUGACAUGUUCGUUGCAGCUGCUUCAACUAUAAUUUUACUAAAUCAUAAAAAAGAUGGUUUGACAUAGGAUAAAAAUGACAUAACAAAUUUAUCUAAAGGUAAUUUGGUCAUUCACUUCAAACACAUUGGGUAAUUUUCUACCAAACACUUGGAAAUACCAUCAAUCAACAAUAUAAAAUAUCUGCUGACUCUAUUUCCACGCAUACCCUUUCUUUGCCGUUGAAAAUUUUUCGCAAAUUUAUAUUUCUCUUACGCCUUAAUUUCUGGUAAAUUAUCUUCAUUUCACCGCCUUAAUUUCUAGUAAAUUCAAGCUUUGUAAAUUGGGGAGAUUUGGGAAUCUUCAUUUCACUACCUUAAUUUUUGGUAAAUUCAAGUAUGAACUAUAUGUUACUGUUGUGAUAGUGUUAAUUUUCAGCGUGCUUAUGAAUUUGAUUCCGGUCUGAACUAUAUGUUACUGUGUUGUUGCUUUUACUUCUUUUUUGUUGUUACAUGUGAAGUGGUAGUGUUUCCUGUUCUUGAUAUUUUGGGGAAUUUUCAAGAUUUCAUCUAAUUUUCAGUUUUUGGAGUCCUAUCAAAAGUGAAGUUGAGUGAUAGUGGAGUUUUAAUGCACCGAGUUGUCCUUUUCUAACAUUUCAACUGAUUUUCAGCUUUUGAGGUUUCAUCAAAAGUGAAGUUCAGUGGUAGGAUAGACCCUUAGUGGUUCGAACUCUUUUCUGAAUCCUGCACGUAACAGGAGUUUUAGUGCACUGAGCGGCCCUUUUCAAAAUUUCAACUGAUUUUUAGCUUUUAGAGUUUCAUCAAAGGUGAAAUUGAGCAUAUAACGAGAGUUUUAGUGCAACGACCUGUGCUUUUCAAGAUUUAAACUGAUUUUCAGUUUCUGGGGUUUCAUUAGAAGUGAGGUUGAGCUCUAUAUUUGUUGAAAUGAUUGAUUCUUUUUUUUUUUUCUGAGUUCUUGAUAUGCUUUAUAGUUAUGUAAAUCCACUGAAAGAUUGUUUCUUUUUUGGAAUUGUUUUGAUUCACUGGAGAGCUCCAACACUUAUAGUAUAGUAUAUAAAGGGUUCUUGAAAUUUGUUCAAGAUUUUUGUAGGGGCAGGGAGUUUUAGGAGAUUCAACCAAAGAACUAAUUGCUCGAUCCGAGGGGCCUCCAAAAAUAGCCUCUUCAUCUCCACGAGGUAGUGCAGGUCUCAGUCAUACAUUUGCAGAGCCCAACCUGAGGAUGCUUCAACUCUUUUUUUGUAUCUAUGUAAAUUAUAUGUACAGUAUCAUUUUGCAAAACCUGGCUCCUUAAUGUUCACAUAUAUAUAUAUAUAUAAUAUAUUACAAGUGUGAAGACCC